ACAUGCCUACAACUUAUCUUUAAUGCACCAUAUCCCAUUAGAACUCCGCAGUUAAGCACGUUCAAGCUAUAGUAGUACUGGGAUGGGUGAUCGCCCGAGAAGUCAUAGUAUUUUACAUGCC
rfam:Picea glauca, whole genome shotgun sequence.